AUGUCUUCUGAUUCUUCCGUGUUGUCUUCUCUCCGACCUCUUGAUUCGCCUGUUAAUGUUCUUACUGUCGAUGGCACAUCUCUUCCUGUUGCUAGUCGUGGUAUUCUUUCCACUCCAUCUUUUUCUGUUUCGAGUGUUUCACAUGUUCCUCAACUUACCAUGAAUCUUUUUUCUGCUGCCCAACUUACUGAUUCUGGUUGUCGUGUCAUUCUUGAUACCGACUCUUGCUCCAUUCAGGAUCGUCGCACCAAGGCUUUGGUUGGUGCUGGCCCCCGGCGCCGUGAGUCAGAGGGCCUUUGGGAUGUUGACUGGCUUUGUGUUCCUUCCGCUGCCACCACUUCUGCGAGCUCUCAUGCUCUUGCUGCCUCUUCGUCUGCGUCCUUCCAGCAGUGGCAUCAUCGACUUGGUCACAUCUGUGGCUCUCGCUUGUCUUCCUUAGUUCGUCAGGGCCUCUUAGGGUCUGUAUCUAGAGAUGUCUCCUUACAUUGUAAUGGUUGCAGACUUGGCAAACAAACUCAGUUACCUUAUCCUACUAGUGCGUCUGUAUCUCAGCGUCCUUUUGACUUAGUUCAUUCUGAUGUCUGGGGUCCUGCUCCCUUUGAUUCGAAAGGUGGUCAUCGCUACUAUGUUUUGUUUAUUGAUGAUUUCUAUUGCUACACUUGGCUCUACUUCAUGAAAUCUCGUAGCGAGGUUCUCCCUAUAUACAAACGUUUUGCUGCCAUGGUUCACACCCAGUUUGCCACGCCCAUUCGUACCUUUCGUGCUGACUCUGCUGGAGAGUAUAUCUCUCAGCUGUUGCGUGGUUUUCUCGCGGAACAGGGUACUCUUGCCCAGUUCUCCUGUCCUGGUGCUCAUGCUCAGAAUGGCGUCGCCGAGCAAAAGCAUCGUCAUUUUCUUGAGACCGCUCGUGCGCUGAUGAUUGCUGCUUCCCUUCCACCCCAUUUUUGGGCCGAGGCUGUUUCCGCAUCCACCUAUCUCAUCAACAUUCAGCCCUCGACUGCUCUGCAGGGUGGCAUUCCUAUGGAGUGUCUCCCUGGUCGCUCUCCUGACUACUCAGCUCUUCGUAUGUUUGGAUGCGUCUGCUAUGUUCUUCUUGCCCCCCGAGAACGCACCAAACUGACUGCUCAGUCGGUUGAGUGUGUUUUCCUUGGCUACAGUGAUGAGCACAAGGGCUAUCGAUGUUGGGAUCCUGUGGGUCGUCGCUUGCGCAUCUCGCGUGAUGUGACUUUUGACGAGUCUCGUUCUUACUACCCACGUUCUUCUUCCUUAAGUUUCUCUGUGGACGACCUUUCUUUCCUUCUCCUUCCCGAUACACCCUGCUAUGUGCCUCAUGUGUCACCUCUUCCUCCGGCACCUCUCAUUCCUUCUCAUUCACCAUCGACCCCGUCUUCUCCAUCCUCCUCCUCCACCUCUCCCCCAUCCUCUCCAGUCCGCCGUCCUCUCCCACCGUUUCCUCUCAACUAUACUCGACGAUCUCGUACUGAGGAUGUCUCCUCUGACGAGCCUUCCACCUCUGGUGCACCUCCUCUCACGCCUUCCCCGGUUCAUAACCUUCGUGCUCGGCCUCGCCCUCCGCCUAAUCGCUACUCCCCUGAUCGGUAUGGUCUCUCUGUUUUGACUGAGCCCACUUCCUAUCGCACUGCCAUGACUCAGCUUGAAUGGCAGCUUGCGAUGGCCGAGGAGCUUGCUGCCCUUGAGCGCUCUGGCACUUGGGAUCUGGUUCCCCUCCCUUCCGGUGUCCGUCCCAUCACCUGCAAGUGGGUCUACAAGCUUAAGACUCGCUCCGAUGGUUCUCUUGAGCGCUACAAAGCUCGUCUUGUGGCCCGUGGCUUUCAGCAGGAGCAGGGGCGUGAUUAUGAUGAGACAUUCGCUCCUGUGGCCCACAUGACCACUGUCCGCACUCUUCUUACCGUGGCUUCUGUUCGUCAGUGGUCUAUCUCUCAACUUGAUGUUCAGAACGCUUUUCUCAAUGGCGAGUUGCGUGAGGAGGUUUAUAUGCAGCCACCACAAGGGUACUAUGCUCCUCAUCGUAUGGUCUGUAGACUUCGCCGCUCCCUAUAUGGUCUCAAACAGGCCCCUCGCGCCUGGUUUGAGCGCUUUGCCUCUGUGGUGACCGCCGCUGGUUUCUUGCCCAGUGACCAUGAUCCCGCGUUGUUUGUUCACACGUCUCCUCAUGGUCGGACUCUUCUCCUUCUCUAUGUUGAUGACAUGAUCAUCACUGGUGACGACAACUGA
rnacentral:rRNA from 1 species